ACAUAUAUUGGAAACAAUUAUGGUGGGGAUUCAUCGAUUUUAACAGGUAAUUGACAACUAUUUGAACUGUUCAAAAAUCAUUUUCCGGAACUUCUGCUAUGAGAUCAUACUAUGUAUGGCCAAAAAAUCAAUUUUGAUUUCCAAAACUCACGAUCAAUUGCUUAAUUUCCUGUUAUAAAUUGAGUUCAGAACCCCACUGGUUCCCCCUUCAAGGCGACGCACGACACCAGAUCGAAUCUCUGAAAUGUCGAUGAUGAUUUCAAACGGUUUCAGUCACGAAUGCACCAACAUCAUGGACCAACUCUCUGUCACUAUGUACUGGCAAGAAACAACUCUUGUCCUCGACGCACGUGUCGCUGGUCACAACAACGAAAAGGUGAGGGUGCAGUUCAGAGACAAAAGGGUUUUGUUCAUCAUCGCGGAAUGUCCAAGUUGUGGAAGGUUCAUGAAGAGGAUCCAACUGCCGGAGGAUGUGAAUGUGAAACAAACCAAGACCGUGGUUGCUGACGGCAUGCUCAAGAUCAUCAUGCCCAAAGGGAAUGUGUAUCAGCCCCAGAUCAAAUUGAGAAAUAACUCUGCAAUAGCCAGCGUCUCCGGAGGACGCCGGGGCUGCUUUUUCUGGUAGAAUACAUAUAUUUCUUCGACUUCAGGCGUCAAAUAUAUAUAUGCAUGUGUCGAAGUUCUUCUUUUAGAUCUCUGGUUGGGCUAUGUUAUCGCUAGUUUAAAUUUUAAAUAUAAGCUUAUUAGGAAAAUACAGACGAUGCUUAAAUAUUACUGCAAAAGCAUUUCUGCUGUAUUUGGAUUUACAAGCCAAUGCGUAUAUCUUUUCAUCAGUUAGAAAAUGGUUAUUAUCAAGGAAAACUAUACUCUCGUAACCCUCA